UGGGGAAUAUUGCACAAUGGAGGGAACUCUGAUGCAGCGACGCCGCGUGAACGAAGAAGGCUUUCGAGUCGUAAAGUUCUUUUAUAUGGGAAGAUAAUGACGGUACCAUAAGAAAAAGCCCCGGCUACUACGUGCCAGCAGCCGCGGUAAUACGUAGGGGGCUAGCGUUGUCCGGAAUCACUGGGCGUAAAGGGUUCGCAGGCGGAAAUGCAAGUCAGGUGUAAAAGGCAGUAGCUUAACUACUGUAAGCAUUUGAAACUGCAUAUCUUGAGAAGAGUAGAGGUAAGUGGAAUUUUUAGUGUAGCGGUGAAAUGCGUAGAUAUUAAAAAGAAUACCGGUGGCGAAGGCGACUUACUGGGCUCAUUCUGACGCUGAGGAACGAAAGCGUGGGUAGCAAACAGG
rnacentral:rRNA from 1 species